CUCACAUUCUCUGUUAUGCUGCUUUAGUUCAGACUUCUGUUCAGCAGACCUAGAACUUUCCUGCUUCUGCAAAUCAAGAUUUUAUUAGGCUGCCCAUUUACUUUGGUCUUGGAGCACCAUAAUUGGUUGAUCGAUCAAUCAAUUACUAAUAAUUCCAUUCCCCUGCAUUCCACCCUCCACAACUGGAGAACAAUAGUGAGGUGGUGAGGUGGGUGAGCAGAAAUUAAAUAAAUUCAUUCAGAGAAUUCCCUGGUGGUGCAGUGGUUAGGACCCCACACUGUUACUGCUGACGGUCUGGGUUCGAUCCCUGGUGGGGAAUCCUGCAAGUCAAAUGGCACGGCGAAAAAAAAAAAAAAAGUCCACUCAGCAUUUGAGCAACCUUUGGAAUCUUUUGGACCCUUCCUUCUACACUGUACUAAAGGAAUCCUGGCCUCUCAGCUUCACUCAGUGAAGGCUACCUUGGGACCAGCCUUCGAUGAAUCAACUGAGCAACCCUUUAGAGCAAGCCCCAGGCCAUGUUACAGCCACUCCCCACUGGUCCCUUAGCAUCCCCAGAUGGGAUCGUCUAGUUGCAGAAAACAAGCUCAGGGCUUCCACUGAUUCUGCAUUUGGUGAGCUGUGUAAUUAUUUCACUAUAGAUCACAAUGUAAUAAUAACAGAAAUAAAGUGCACAAUAAAUGGCACGUGCGUGAAUCAUCCUGAAACCAUCCCCACCCCCAGUCCAUGGAAAACGGUCUUCCAUGAAACCCAUCCCUGGUCCAAAAAGGCUGGGGACCACUGUUUUAGAGCCAUCCCCAGCUGUCUGAGCUACCAGGAGGAAUGCAGGAUCUAUGAUUAACGCAUCCACUCACUUCAACACGUGAUACUCCUUUCAUCAUAAUGCGCUGCUUAGUGUCCAUUCCCAGACACAUUUCCCUGUUCAUACACGCUGGAGACAUCUUGCAGCUCUUUGGUGUGUACUGUGCCUUCUCCGGGCUUCCCAGGUGGCGCAGUGGUAAGGAAUCUGCCUGCCAACGCAGGAGUCACAGAAGACACAAGUUCGAUCCCUGGGUCAGAAGAUCCCCUGAAGGAGGAAAUGGCAACCCACUCCAGUAUUCUUGCCUGGGAAAUCCCAUGGACAGAGAGGAGCCUGACAGGCUCCAGUCAUGGGGUCACAAAGCGUCAGGCACAACUAAGCAACUGAGCAUGCGCGCUCCGUUGCGCAUGCUCACACACACACGCUUCCUCAUGGGUCACACUGUGUGCCUGAUACCCUGAAACUUGCCGGGUCUUAAGUCUGAGAAGUGUUAUGCCUUGGCCACUAGAGUUUCUCUAGGCACAAAGAGAACCUCUGACUCUUUACUCAGACUUUGGGAAUUGAAGCCCUUGAGCUCAUCUUUCACCCUUUUUUGGUGCACUUAGAAGCAAAGGAGCAGCCCCAUGGUCCUGAUGCUCUUUAUUUCCAGCAGCCAGGUCCCUAAAAUGCCCCUAAAUCGACAGAUUAGAUCGUCGAUGCCAGCCUCCCCUCCUUACAGUUCUGCUCCAUUGGAAGCAUCACCAUCGCCAAUCACUGUAUCAGGCAGCGCUGGGUCGGGAGGCAGAGCCCUGCCAGGCUUCCCCAGUCCAAGCAUCUCCCCACACCUGCCCGAUGGCUGCCUCGCCUCCCCCAGCAGACUGUGAGCUCUGAGAUGCUGGGCUGAGUCUCCCAACUCAUCACGGUGCAACCAGCACUUGGCACAAGCUUGGAACAGAGCGGCGUUCAAUAUACAUUUGUAAAUGGGAUAAAAAUAUGGAAUGCUUCUCGAAUUUUUGUGUCGUCCUCGGGCAGGGGCCAUGCUAAUCUCUGUACUGUUCCAGCUUUAGUGUCUAUGCUGCUAGAGUGGACACACACAAAUAAAAGUUUUUAAUGUGCAG
ensembl:lncRNA